rnacentral:rRNA from 1 species
UGGGGAAUAUUGGACAAUGGGCGCAAGCCUGAUCCAGCAAUGCCGCGUGUGUGAAGAAGGCCUUCGGGUUGUAAAGCACUUUUAUCAGGAGCGAAACGCUGUCGGCUAAUACCCGGCGGAACUGACGGUACCUGAGGAAUAAGCACCGGCUAACUUCGUGCCAGCAGCCGCGGUAAUACGAAGGGUGCAAGCGUUAAUCGGAAUUACUGGGCGUAAAGCGUGCGUAGGCGGUUUCUUAAGUCUGCUGUGAAAUCCCCGGGCUCAACCUGGGAAUGGCAGUGGAUACUGGGAGGCUAGAGUGUGUCAGAGGGUGGUGGAAUUCCCGGUGUAGCGGUGAAAUGCGUAGAGAUCGGGAGGAACAUCAGUGGCGAAGGCGGCCACCUGGGACAACACUGACGCUGAGGCACGAAAGCGUGGGGGAGCAAACAGGAUUAGAUACCCUGGUAGUCCACGCCCUAAAAGCGAUGCGAACUGGAUGUUGGUCUCAACUCGGAGAUCAGUGUCGAAGCUAACGCGUUAAGUUCGCCGCCUGGGGAGUACGGUCGCAAGACUGAAACUCAAAGGAAUUGACGGGGUCAUAGCUGUUUCCUG